CGGCAACAGCUCAAAUUUGAAAUCUGGCCUCUGGUCCGAGUUGUAAUUUGUAGAGGAUGUUUCGGGUGUGGUCCGGUCUAAGUUCCUUGGAACAGGACGUCACAGAGGGUGAGAAUCCCGUACGUGACCGGCUCCCUAUCCCAUGUGAAGCUCCUUCGAC
rnacentral:rRNA from 1 species